AAGCUGGAUGACAAUGGCAAGAAAAAUGCCUUGUUAGAGUCGCAUGAGCCAGCUGAAGCUAUAAAGAUGAUCGAAAAGGCUCUUUCCAAGCAUGAGAUCAUCUCUGAUGGGAUGCACAAUCCCUUGCCCCUUAAUUUGGAUAUAUUGAAGUGGGCUAAGGAAAUUCAUGAUAUUGUAUCCAGUACAAAGCUUCCAGAUCAGUGAAGUUCUACAAUAUUUACAGGAUUGAUUAUGACACUCCACACACUCUAGCACAAAGCAGAGCAGCCAAACUGCAAACCGGAAACACAAACACCCAGACAGACAGACAGAUCAGAGACGUUACUCAUCAGGGUUAAUUACGAGAAGCAGAAGGAAGACUAGGCAUGAUGCACGCGUGCAUGAGAUGGUUUGGAAGAACCUAGGCCAGUCUUGUCAUUCAUCACCUGGUCCUUACCAUCCUUCCAAGAAGCCGUCGUCGCCGCGGUUCUGCGAGUCCUGCGGCGGCGGGUACCCGGCGCCGUCCUUGGGCGGGUAUGCCUGCUGGCCCGGCGGAGGGUACUCCGUGCCCGGUGGCGGGAGAGCUGCAAAGCCAAAAACUCAAAGACAUCAGAUCAAGACGCGCUCAGCAAUAACAGAGACCGACUGAAAUUCUCGAGAGAUCAAUGUGCAUGUGCAUGCUAGCCUUCUAUGGCAAAGCUCCGGCUGUUGUCGAGCUGUGUGUGCAGGCCGGAGCUGAAAUACCUGAUGACUAUCGGCAGAUGAUGACGACUGACAUUGUCAUCCCAGAUUCAGUGGAAGCUCGGAUAGCUGCAUAAUAACAAUGUUCUACUCUACCCUGCAGUUCUGUAGCUCUCCAGAGUCCAGAUUCCAAUCAAAGGUGAUGUUUUAUAGGCAUGCUGUGAUGGUUGGGGCUGUUGGCCCUGUAAUUGUACUGCUCAGGAAGCAGCAAAUGCUUAGUCUGUAUAAUAUAAGUAGCAUGGCUGAACCAUGAUCGGCCAGAGUUUCAAAUUGAUAGAAAGACCUGGUUUAAGUA